rnacentral:pre_miRNA from 1 species
CUGGGGGGGGGGGUCCCCUCAGCCCGGAUUGUGAGAGGGCACAGGCCAGGCCAAGGGACCCCAUGGGUGCACA